ACGGAAGGCAGCAGUGGGGAAUAUUGCACAAUGGGCGAAAGCCUGAUGCGGCGACGCCGCGUGAGUGAAGAAGUAUCUCGGUAUGUAAAGCUCUAUCAGCAGGGAAGAAAAUGACGGUACCUGACUAAGAAGCCCCGGCUAACUACGUGCCAGCAGCCGCGGUAAUACGUAGGGGGCAAGCGUUAUCCGGAUUUACUGGGUGUAAAGGGAGCGUAGACGGUUUGGCAAGUCUGAAGUGAAAUGCGGGGGCUCAACUCCUGAACUGCUUUGGAAACUGUCGAACUAGAGUGCAGGAGAGGUAAGUGGAAUUCCUAGUGUAGCGGUGAAAUGCGUAGAUAUUAGGAGGAACACCAGUGGCGAAGGCGGCUUACUGGACUGUAACUGACGUUGAGGCUCGAAAGCGUGGGGAGCAAACAGGAUUAGAUACCCUGGUA
rnacentral:rRNA from 1 species